rnacentral:snRNA from 1 species
GUGCUUGCUUUGGCAGUACAUAUACUAAAAUUGGAAUGGUACAGAGAAGAUUAGCAUGGCCCCUUUGCAAGGAUGACAUUCAAAUUUGUGAAGCGUUCCAUAUUUUU